rnacentral:rRNA from 1 species
UGCUAUUUCUAGAGAUAGAAGUUACUUCGGUACAUCGGUGACAGGUGGUGCAUGGUUGUCGUCAGCUCGUGUCGUGAGAUGUUGGGUUAAGUCCCGCAACGAGCGCAACCCCUAUUGUUAGUUGCCAUCAUUCAGUUGGGCACUCUAGCGAGACUGCCGGUAAUAAACCGGAGGAAGGUGGGGAUGACGUCAAAUCAUCAUGCCCCUUAUGACCUGGGCUACACACGUGCUACAAUGGUUGGUACAACGAGUUGCGAGUCGGUGACGGCGAGCUAAUCUCUUAAAGCCAAUCUCAGUUCGGAUUGUAGGCUGCAACUCGCCUACAUGAAGUCGGAAUCGCUAGUAAUCGCGGAUCAGCACGCCGCGGUGAAUACGUUCCCGGGCCUU